rnacentral:lncRNA from 1 species
UUAUUAGGAACCUUUCCACCAAUAUUGAUUGAGCACUUACUAAAUGCUGGGCAUUUUCCUCAUGUCGCCACUUUAUGGAUAAAAUUGAGGUAUGAUAAGGGAACUGGAGCUUCCCUGUCACACUACAAGGGGCGGGGCAGAGGGUCAGAGCCAGGUCUGGUUCCAAGGCUUGUGUUCCUUGGUGUUUAAUCUGUUAGGAGGGUAGGACUGAGUCACUAACCCUCCCUCUGGCGCCAAUAGCCACUCCUGCCCUUCCUCUUCCUUUCUGAACAAGAACUGACUGGUUCAAACGAACUACAAGGUUUCAGACUUCAGAUUCAUUCUCUGUCUCUCUUUCUCUUUCCUUCUGUGUCUUUCUGUUGGUGGAGAGGCUGGAGAUAAAAGGACAAUGAAGUUUAGUAGCAGCUGUGUACCCAGUUUUCUGUGGUUCAGUUGCACAUACGCCUUGCCUGGAGGUGGGAGGUGCGUGGAUAACUGGAGACAUUAUUAAAGAGGCUCAUGAGAAGAGGAUGGAGGUUGAUCCUGGUUUGGGAAGCUUCCAGCUUGGAAUGAUUACAAUAGAAAGAAGCUGUUCUCCUGAUUCUUCCUGAUGCUGACACACCUUCUCUUUUUAAAAACAAUAGCAUGGCACCUUUGAUUACUGUUAUAAAGUCCAGAGGUCUUCAGACUGGGGCACACCCACCCAGGGGGGUAUAUAAAGACUUUGUAAGGGGCACUUGGGCAUCGAAGUGUUGGGUUAUGUGUCCUCAACUUUCCUAUCGUCGAGUUCCUAAAACAGACUUGCAUAAGAACCUCUGGGCUGGGAGUUAUUUACCCUCUCCUACAUCUCUUCCUUUCUAUCAUCCUUUUGCUACUCUACAAAGGAAAGGCACCACCCUCCCCCAUCCCAAAUCUUACUAAAGUAUAUUGCCUGGGUGUAGAAACCUUUAUGAUAGCAAAGGGACAAUUUCAUUUCAUAAUACAUAUUUAUUAAAUACCUAAUAUAUACCAGGCACAGUUCUGGAUGAUGAGUUACUGCAGUGAACAUAACAGUAAAACAUUUCUGUCCUCAUGGGGCUUCCAUUUUAUCAGGAAGAGAUGGGCAAGAAGCAAAAAAGAUAUUAUCCAUGCUGCUUCUUUCAAUUAAGGCCCUAAAAUUUUCCCAUUAACCUGAUGAAGAAAUACAUUUCCGAAAAAUUUUCCUGGUUAUGUUUAGUAAUUAUCAAAACUUACAAAGUUACAUUAUUUUGAUCAGUUGUAUACUAGUAAUAAUUAUAAUGAAGACUCAAUCUAGCAAAAUUAAUACUUGGAAAAUCAUGGCAAUGGGAAAUUAAAUUUAAAUCACAAUUUAUAUAUGUAUUUUGAUUAUAGAGAAGUAUAAUAAUCAGUAAAAAGGCUUUAAGUAUAAAAAAUUACAUCAUAAGGCCGGGCGCGGUGGCUCAUGCCUGUAAUCCUAGCACUUUGGGAGGCCGAGGCAGGCGGAUCACGAGGUCAGUAGUUUGAGACCAGCCUGACCAACAUGGUGAAACCCCGUCUCUACUAAAAAUACAAAAAUUAGCCAGGCGUGGUGUCAUGCGCCUGUAAUCUCAGCUACUCAG